GAAAGGAUCGACAGGCAGAGGCAGAGGAAGAGGGUCGACAGAGGGAAUCGACAGGCUUUGCCAGGAGCGACCGGGUGGACGCACGCAGGCUGGCAAGGAACCCCCGGAUCACACAGCAGACCCUGCAGGCUACCGGAACGAACCCGAAGACGUCCACAACAGACAGGGGGUCGAUUUGGGCCCAGGGACCUGCAGUGAACCCCAGAAGCGACCAAGAGGCGGAGCGGGACAGGUACGGCCACGUACAUCCCGCGAGUGACCGGAGACUGGCGAGGAGAGUGGGCGUACCCAUUACGUUGACGCGGAACUACAGCAAAGGCAGGGGAAACCCUGCCUUGCGUGAGGACACCGUGGAAGUGGGCGGAGCCAGGAUACGGACCCACUAUGUCUGUCGUGACUGUACCCUCCCCUCGCCCAUCACAUUGGUUACCAAUUGAGUUCCAGUGUUCCCAUUGUGGGCAGAGUUGUGAGACGUGCACAUCUGCUCCCAAUUUACCCGGGUGCAAUUUAAGCAGCAACUUGGCAGCUAGAUGGCACUCGGUGAUUCCACUCCUCGGCUCUCCACAUUGAUGACUUCCAUGUUUCGUGUUCUUGCUGCUUGUGAUCCUGGCCGCUCCCGGUGCCAUCCAGCUUGGUGUCUACGUCGGCGGUAGCACGUCUUGCAACUGCGACC